AGCUGAUGCUGGUGCCAACAUGGAGUAAAUCUUCUUGGUUUUGUGUGUUAAAGCCUCAGAGAAGGAAAGCAGAGGAUGGAGGACGAGUCAGGAGGAGGCCGGCUGAGCGGGGGUCCACUGGAAGACACCUGGGUCCUGCCCACAAGAGAUAAGUGUCCUACCCCUUCAACCUCAUACACCUCUCCCUGAGAAUAUGUGCAGUAUGUAUGUGAUAUGGAGAUACACACAUACACUCAGGAUCCAGAUAAUCUGCUGGAAGAGGUUUACGCAGACCUCACAGCCUUCGCUCGGUGCACACGCAUGCAUGCAAACAGGUUUUUACACACAUGGACGUAUCCAAAGAUAGCGCUUAAUGUGGCGAGGAUGCCGUGCAUCCUGCGCCGGCUGUGGAGAAUCGGCCUGACUAAGCUCUGAAUUUACAUGGCUAAGCAAAGUUGUUAACCCUGAGAGGCAGGGCCAGAGUAGUAGCUAAUGGGAUUUCUCUGUUAAUGAAAUUUAUAAAAGAGAGGGAGAGAAAAGAGAGAGAAAAGGACAGAUACAAGCUAUGGAGAGAAACAGAAAACACCAGCCCAUUUUCCAGAGGAUUUUGUUUACUGUAUUCUGAGUGGGGUCGAUGGAAAGAGUAAAAAAAAUUAAAAAAUAUGGCAAAAAAAGUUUCGGUUUGUCAAAGUGUAGAAAAAGUGGACACAGGACAAACAAGCAAGCACAGAGAUUAAUUAAUUAAUCAAACAGUUAAUUAAACCACAUUAAUUAAACAGUAAUGCUUUUGAACUAUGAGAGGAAUCCACGUUACCUGGAAAAGAAACACAAGGAAAGGAUGUGCAGAAAAGAUCUCAGAGGUUCAUUCAAGCGGUUUCUGGGUGCAUGGGGUCUUUGCAACAUUGGAGGAAGCCACAGUGCCAAAGAAAUGUCAAAUUAUGAAUAUUAAGAUCUUAGAUAGAUCAUUCUCAUUUUGUGAGUAAAAACUUUUUUAACCAGCUUUCUUUUGUUCUUUGUCUCACAAAUGAGGGUAAUGUCCCACGAACAACACAAACUUUUACCAAGUCUAAACUGCAACACAGUUGAUUUUCAGACAAAUAUAGUAAGAGUUGUGCAUAUUUUCUAUUUGACAACCAUGGCCUCAAACUUCAUAACUAAAACAAUUUUAUGAAACUUGAAAAAAAAAAUUAACCCUUAAAAAAUUUGCUUUACAUGCCAAGUCCUUUCAAAAUAGCAUGAAUUGUUUAAAAUGCUGAAAAAAUUUGUACUUUAGAUUGGAGAAUUAAUAAAAUACAGCCUCAUCGAAAUGAAACAUUAAUAAAACAAUCAAAAUCCCAUCACGGAGACUUGAAAAUGCUAAGUUAUAUAUAUUUAACAAUAUGUUAUUAUUUGUAUAUUAUGUAACUGGACAUAUCCAAAGACAGCACUUGUGUUCCAGUUUUAAACAACUUACUGCCACUGUUACGCAUCACGAUAAGUUAUAAGUCUGGAUCUGAGGGUCAAAACAAAAAUGUGUUCUUUCUAUUUGCAUAUGUUUUGUGUGGUUGAUCCUGUGCUUUUAUACACAGCUCAAAAUAUGAGGGUUGGGAUAAUUGGUCUGUCUAAAAUUGCCUAUGAUUGAGCAUGUAAGCGUGAGCUCUUACAUGAUUGUUUGUUUUCUGUCUCUCCUUCUUGCCCUGUCAUGGACAGUUCCCAACCUCAGAUCCAAUGAAGGCAAGAAAAACACACCUUCCUCUCAUCCAGACUGUCAGCCUUGAUUGCCCCGGGGUGAGUGGGCAGAAGAUUGUGAUGAGCGGGGAAGAAGAAGAAGAAGAAGAAGAAAGAGAAGAGGGCAAGUGUGAAAAUAUCGUCGCUUUAUGGAAAUGAGAGCAACUGUCAAGGAAGCCUCUAAGGAGGUGAACCGGAGGGGAACAGUUACAGUGUGCUCCGUGACAGGGCGCUGCACAAACAGGAACAGAAUGGCUUUGUUAAGGAGGACAGAAAGAGAUAAAGCAUCUGAGAUAGAAAAAAAAAAUCUGCUUAGCGACUUUAUAACUAUAUUUAGUUUUCAAACUCAUAAACUGAACAUACUUGGACGUGUUAAGUAAUGAAUACUCCUUUAAUUUAUUAAAAAAGAAAAGAAACUGUUGACUUUUUGACUAAAUAUUAUUAUAUUUCUGGAGUAAUUUGGAGAACCUAACAUGGAAAUGCAUCCUCUUAACUCUUCUGAACAGGUGCAAAAGAUUCACAGGUAGACAUGUCCUCACACAUCAGUCCCUCCCAGUUGUAGACAAAGUAGGAAAUGCAGGCUGAUCCUCUAAAAGAGGCUUCACUAAGGUUACUUUUAGGCCACUUCUACUGGGCUGGAAUGAUGAUUUUAUAAAAGCAUAGAAGAAAGUCAUUUUGUAGGUUUGCAACACAUAUUACACUUGCAUUUUGUCUCUUCUCUCCUUCAAAGUUCUUUGCAAUUGCAUGCACAUUACUUAAACUUUUUUAUGGAAACAAGUUUAGGUAUUUUUGGGCCUUUUAGAAGAGCUGAUUUCCUUACUGAGGUGUUCUGAAAUAUUUUGUGAUUUACAAAAAAAAAAGUAUAAAUGGGAACGUUUUUCUGUAGUGUCCAAAGUAAGAAAGAAAAAGUAAAAAUGUAUUUUUAAUCUGUUACUUCAAGUGUUCUUCUGUUUUAGAAGUCUUAUUUUACAUGCCUGUUGCAUA